rnacentral:rRNA from 1 species
AACGAACGCUGGCGGCAUGCCUAACACAUGCAAGUCGAACGAGACCUUCGGGUCUAGUGGCGCACGGGUGCGUAACGCGUGGGAACCUGCCCUUAGGUUCGGAAUAACUCCCCGAAAGGGGUGCUAAUACCGGAUAAUGUCUUCGGACCAAAGAUUUCUCGCCUUUGGAUGGGGCCGCGUUGGAUUAGCUAGUUGGUAGGGUAAAAGCCUACCAAGGCGACGAUCCAUAGCUGGUCUGAGAGGAUGAUCAGCCACACUGGGACUGAGACACGGCCCAGACUCCUACGGGAGGCAGCAGCGGGGAAUAUUGGACAAUGGGCGAAAGCCUGAUCCAGCAAUGCCGCGUGAGUGAUGAAGGCCUUAGGGUUGUAAAGCUCUUUUACCCGGGAGGAUAAUGACAGUACCGGGAGAAUAAGCUCCGGCUAACUCCGUG